AUGAAGAGGGAGAAUGCCGACAGCUGGAAUUCUGGACUGGAAAGGAGCAAAUCUAAGAUCCCUAUUCUGCACAACUCCAAAUGUCCUGAAACUUUAUGGAGAAUUAUUUUGGAAUAUAUAAAAAAAUACUGGGCGAAGAAAUACCAGGAGAGGACCCACCAGGUGGCCACAAGUCAGGGGGCGCCCUGCCCCCCCUCCCCCAGGGCGCGUCCCCUGAGAUUGUGGGUGAAGGAAAUAUGCCCUAAAGGCAAUAAUAAAGUUGUUAUUUAUAUUUCCUUGUAUCAUGAUAAAUGUUUAUUAUUCAUGCAAGAAUUGUAUUAA
rnacentral:rRNA from 1 species